rnacentral:rRNA from 1 species
UCAAGCGACUAAGUGCAUAUGGUGGAUGCCUUGGCGAUCACAGGCGAUGAAGGACGUAGUAGCCUGCGAAAAGCUACGGGGAGCUGGCAAACAAGCUUUGAUCCGUAGAUGUCCGAAUGGGGAAACCCACUGCAGCAAUGCAGUAUCCCUAGCUGAAUACAUAGGCUAGUGGAAGCGAACCGGGUGAACUGAAACAUCUCAGUAGCUCGAGGAAAAGAAAUCAACCGAGAUUCCGAAAGUAGUGGCGAGCGAAAUCGGAAGAGCCUUUACGUUUUAGCAUGCAAGAUAAUCGAAGGGGAUGGAAAGCCCCGCCGUAGCAGGUGAUAGCCCUGUAGAUGAAAUUUUGUGUGUGGAACUAAGCGUAAGAAAAGUAGGGCGGGACACGUGAAAUCCUGUUUGAAGAUGGGGGGACCAUCCUCCAAGGCUAAAUACUCGUGAUCGACCGAUAGUGAACCAGUACCGUGAGGGAAAGGCGAAAAGAACCCCGGAAGGGGAGUGAAAUAGAUCCUGAAACCGUAUGCAUACAAACAGUAGGAGCCUCCUUGUGGGGUGACUGCGUACCUUUUGUAUAAUGGGUCAGCGACUUACAUUCAGUGGCAAGGUUAACCGAAUAGGGAAGCCGUAGCGAAAGCGAGUCCGAAUAGGGCGAUUCAGUCGCUGGGUGUAGACCCGAAACCAGAUGAUCUAUCCAUGGCCAGGUUGAAGGCACGGUAACACGUGCUGGAGGACCGAACCCACUAAUGUUGAAAAAUUAGGGGAUGAGCUGUGGAUAGGGGUGAAAGGCUAAACAAAUCUGGAAAUAGCUGGUUCUCUCCGAAAACUAUUUAGGUAGUGCCUCAAGUAUUACUGCGGGGGGUAGAGCACUGUUAUAGCUAGGGGGUCAUGGCGACUUACCAAACUAUGGCAAACUCCGAAUACCCGCAAGUACAGCUUGGGAGACAGAGCACCGGGUGCUAACGUCCGGACUCAAGAGGGAAACAACCCAGACCGCCAGCUAAGGUCCCGAAUUAUCGCUAAGUGGGAAACGAAGUGGGAAGGCAUAGACAGUCAGGAGGUUGGCUUAGAAGCAGCCAUCCUUUAAAGAAAGCGUAAUAGCUCACUGAUCGAGUCGUCCUGCGCGGAAGAUGUAACGGGGCUAAGCGAUAAACCGAAGCUGCGGGUGUGCACUUUUAGUGCACGCGGUAGGAGAGCGUUCUGUAAGCCUGCGAAGGUGGCUUGUAAAGGCUGCUGGAGGUAUCAGAAGUGCGAAUGCUGACAUGAGUAGCGAUAAAGGGGGUGAAAAGCCCCCUCGCCGUAAGUCCAAGGUUUCCUGCGCAACGUUCAUCGGCGCAGGGUGAGUCGGCCCCUAAGGCGAGGCAGAGAUGCGUAGCUGAUGGGAAACUGGUUAAUAUUCCAGUACCGUCGUACAGUGCGAUGGGGGGACGGAUCGCGGAAGAUCAUCAGGGUGUUGGAUGUCCCUGUUGCUGUAUCGAAGAUGGCGCUUAGGCAAAUCCGGGCGCGUAAAUCAAGGGUAUGGCACGAGCGAGCAUUGCUUGCGAAGUGAUUGGAAGUGGUUCCAAGAAAAGCCUCUAAGCUUCAGCUGUACGAGACCGUACCGCAAACCGACACAGGUGGACGGGAUGAAUAUUCCAAGGCGCUUGAGAGAACUCAGGAGAAGGAACUCGGCAAAUUGAUACCGUAACUUCGGGAGAAGGUAUACCCCGGUAGUGUGAAGCGCCUGCGCGCUUAGCAUGAUGGGGUCGCAGAGAAUCGGUGGCUGCGACUGUUUAUUAAAAACACAGCACUCUGCAAAGACGAAAGUCGACGUAUAGGGUGUGACGCCUGCCCGGUGCCGGAAGGUUAAGUGAUGGGGUGCAAGCUCUUGAUCGAAGCCCCGGUAAACGGCGGCCGUAACUAUAACGGUCCUAAGGUAGCGAAAUUCCUUGUCGGGUAAGUUCCGACCUGCACGAAUGGCGUAACGAUGGCCACACUGUCUCCUCCUGAGACUCAGCGAAGUUGA